rfam:Salmo salar isolate Sally breed double haploid chromosome ssa09, whole genome shotgun sequence.
UAGUCACACUACUGUAAGUUGCUCUGGAUAAGAGUGUCUGUUAAAUGACUCAAA